UCUGGAAUGGCAGAAUAGUGCAUUGGAUUUAAACCCCAAAUAUGAAGUUUAACCUUUUUUUAGAA
rnacentral:tRNA from 2 species